rnacentral:snoRNA from 1 species
GUCCUCCUGGUGCUUAACCGGAAGCCGUGAUCUUACACUGACUGCAGAGAAAGAUGAGGCAAAGUUACAUGUACCCCAUAUGCACCUCAGCCCAGGCCUUGCGCCCAGCCUGCCUUGUGAAUGGGGAGUUGUGG